GGAUAGUGCAACAGUUACAUUAUUUGGAAAAAAUGUGAAAAAAAUAAUAUUAAAAGUCUAAAGUUCAAAUACAUGUAUGGCUGAAUAGUGCAAGAGUUGCUAAACAUUAUCAUUUAACAGGGUAAAUCUAAAAAAUAUUUAACAAUAAACAAGGCCAAAUAAAACUGAAUUGAGGGCUUCAGGCACAUGUCCAGUUUGCUUAAAUUUUUGAAAUUUUUAUGCUAUUUUUAUGCAUAUCAAAGAACCGCUAAAGUUGUUCCUUUUUAUGAACAUAAUAG
rnacentral:lncRNA from 1 species